rnacentral:rRNA from 1 species
UACGUAGGGUGCGAGCGUUAAUCGGAAUUACUGGGCGUAAAGCGUGCGCAGGCGGUUUGCUAAGCCCGAUGUGAAAUCCCCGGGCUCAACCUGGGAACUGCAUUGGUGACUGGCAGGCUAGAGUAUGGCAGAGGGGGGUAGAAUUCCACGUGUAGCAGUGAAAUGCGUAGAGAUGUGGAGGAAUACCGAUGGCGAAGGCAGCCCCCUGGGCCAAUACUGACGCUCAUGCACGAAAGCGUGGGGAGCAAACAGG